rnacentral:rRNA from 1 species
UCCUUGGGACGGGGAACCUCGGGAACUGAGAAUAAUACCCGAUAGAACAUUAUGCCUGGAAUGGUUUAUGUUUCAAAUGAUUUAUCGCCAUAGGAUGGGACUGCGGCCUAUCAGUUUGUUGGUGAGGUAAUGGCCCACCAAGACUAUUACAGGUACGGGCUCUGAGAGGAGUGGCCCGGAGAUGGGUACUGAGACACGGACCCAGGCCCUAUGGGGCGCAGCAGGCGAGAAAACUUUGCAAUGUGCGAAAGCACGACAAGGUUAAUCCGAGUGGUUUCUGCUAAAGAAACCUUUUGUCAGUCCUAGAAACACUGACGAAUAAGGGGUGGGCAAGUUCUGGUGUCAGCCGCCGCGGUAAAACCAGCACCUCAAGUGGUCAGGAUGAUUAUUGGGCCUAAAGCAUCCGUAGCUCGUUUUGUAAGUUUUCGGUUAAAUCCAUGCGCUUAACGUAUGGGCUGCCGGGAAUACUGCAUAACUAGGAAGUGGGAGAGGUAGACGGUACCCGGUAGGAAGGGGUAAAAUCCUUUGAUCUAUUGAUGACCACCUGUGGCGAAGGCGGUCUACCAGAACACGUUCGACGGUGAGGGAUGAAAGCUGGGGGAGCAAACCGGAUUAGAUACCCGGGUAGUCCCAGCUGUAAACUAUGCAAACUCAGUGAUGCAUUGGCUUGUGGCCAAUGCAGUGCUGCAGGGAAGCCGUUAAGUUUGCCGCCUGGGAAGUACGUACGCAAGUAUGAAACUUAAAGGAAUUGGCGGGGGAGCAC